rnacentral:rRNA from 1 species
UACGUAGGGCGCAAGCGUUGUCCGGAAUUAUUGGGCGUAAAGAGCUCGUAGGCGGUCUGUCGCGUCGGAUGUGAAAACCCAGGGCUCAACCCCGGGCCUGCAGUCGAUACGGGCAGACUAGAGUGCGGUAGGGGAGACUGGAAUUCCUGGUGUAGCGGUGAAAUGCGCAGAUAUCAGGAGGAACACCGGUGGCGAAGGCGGGUCUCUGGGCCGUAACUGACGCUGAGGAGCGAAAGCGUGGGGAGCGAACAGG